rnacentral:rRNA from 1 species
CCUACGGGAGGCAGCAGUGGGGAAUCUUGCGCAAUGGGCGAAAGCCUGACGCAGCCAUGCCGCGUGAAUGAUGAAGGUCUUAGGAUUGUAAAAUUCUUUCACCGGGGACGAUAAUGACGGUACCCGGAGAAGAAGCCCCGGCUAACUUCGUGCCAGCAGCCGCGGUAAUACGAAGGGGGCUAGCGUUGCUCGGAAUUACUGGGCGUAAAGGGAGCGUAGGCGGAUAGUUUAGUCAGAGGUGAAAGCCCAGGGCUCAACCUUGGAAUUGCCUUUGAUACUGGCUAUCUUGAGUAUGGGAGAGGUAUGCGGAACUCCGAGUGUAGAGGUGAAAUUCGUAGAUAUUCGGAAGAACACCAGUGGCGAAGGCGGCAUACUGGCCCAUUACUGACGCUGAGGCUCGAAAGCGUGGGGAGCAAACAGGAUUAGAUACCCUGGUAGUCCACGCUGUAACGAUAGAGUGCGUAGUUGUCGGCGAUGCAUGCAUGUCGGUGGACGCGACGCGUACG